rnacentral:pre_miRNA from 1 species
GGGGGGAGCGCUGGAUCCUGGCUGUGUUCCCAAGCACCCUGGGCUCCAGGACCUGCACCGCUGGAAUCCCGCUCCCCGGUCCACGCAGCCCCCU